AUGUCCAGCGGAGACGAAUCGGAGACGGAAAUGAAGAGGCCACCUUCCCCCUCAACUCCUCCGAGCGACGGCGUAGACUCGGCCAUGUCUACCGCCAGCAUUGAGGACGACGACCAUCAGGCUGUCAUUGACGACGAAGACGAGGAUGAAGACCUAGAGAAAUACCAACCUUUUACCGUUGAUGAUUUCCCAAGGGUUAGUAGUGAGUUUGAUGAGCAAUCUGAUGUUGUGUUCCAAAAUCCUGAUAUUCAACUUCGAGGCCCUUCGGCAAUGUUUCUUUUCCGGGCAUUCAACAAUCCCCUUGUUGAAAAACACAAGCAUUUCUUCGGUAGCCAAUAUCAACUCUAUGAUGAGUCUGAAGUCAAUGUGAACAACAAUGUUAGGGCCAUUAAUUGCUCACACGGUUGCCAUUGUUUACCGAGCGGCGUGCUGCAGUUCAUUGAUCUCAAAAUUGUUGGUUAUCGCCACGUCCAACCUGGAUGUGCCAAUAUAUUUGGUUUUUUCGCAGUACGUGAGAAUGGUGAACCUUUGCGCAACUAUGUGUACAGGCGUGGGAUUGACAAUUAUGAAGCUGUAAAUGUGAAGCGGGAUACGGGCAUUGCACAUUUAUCGCUGACUAGCCCUGCUCGAUGUAUUCACAUGGGAAGCCGUGUGUUGUUUGAAUUCAAGCUUUCUGUACGGACUGAUGACCAGCCAGAAGAUGGGCCAAAAGAUGACCUUCUGAUUGAAGGAUGUACCGAGUUUACUGAGUUUAUGAACAUGCACAAAACAAGACCAUUCAUCGAAACUCGGCGUCUGUAUGGGGAAAAGUGUGGAUUGGAUAUGAAGUUUCUGGUGUUGUGGAAUGCAGUUCAAGCAAAGGUUGAUGUUGAGAUACUUCAUGCUCCUGUCAAUGGCCUUAAUCUGAAUCUUUAUGCAAAGACGAGUGGCUUCAGAGAUGUGAUCCGCCUCUUUUUUGCAGUUACAGAAUCAGGUUGCAGAAUGAGUUUGGUCGUAGGAGUGAUGAGAUACAGUUACCUUAUUCUUUGUAUCGAAGGAUCCCCGAAAGAUGGUGGUUUUUCUCAAGAGCUGCCGUGUUGUAUGUGGGAAGGUCGAUUUGGUUCGGGGUAUCAUGGAACAGUGCAUGAAGUGGUGUAUCUUCAUGAUUCCACAAAAAUUUCUGUCAAGGUUACCUGGAAGGCUGUGAAGAGUUUACAUGACUUGAAACACUGA
rnacentral:rRNA from 1 species